UUCGGUCCCAUUGCUGGCUCAAACCCGCGUUCGGUCCCGGGGCUGGCCCAAACCCGCGUUCGGUCCCAUUGCUGGCCCAAACCCGCGUUCGGUCCCAUUGCUGGCCCAAACCCGCGUUCGGUCCCAUUGCUGGCCCAAGCCCGCGUUCGGUCCCAUUGCUGGCCCAAACCCGCGUUCGGUCCCGGAGCUGGCCCAAACCAGCGUUCGGUCCCGUUGCUGGCUCAAACCCGCGUUCGGUCCCAUUGCUGGCCCAAGCCCGCGUUCGGUCCCAUUGCUGGCCCAAACCCGCUCCCGGUUCCUUAUGAAGUUCAUCUCAGCUUUGCAAAACCAGCAGCCCCUGCUGCACAGAGCAGCAAACCACAGUGACCUCCAGUUCCCUUGAAACCCAGGCUGAACCAAGGUGAGUAUGAGACUGGACAGGUCAGAACCCUCACCUGGACUGCUGCAAUUGGAGUGAGAUCCAGCUAAAAUGGAAUUCAAGAAUUUAAAAAAAAAGACAGAGGCAGUAGCUGUCAGAAAGUGUCUGUGAGCACACACAACCCUGCUCUGUCAGGUAUUUUGUAUUUUUCCUUCAGACCUCUGAAGCUUUUCUUCCGGGUCGGAUGUCAUUAGCAUAUAAUUAGGGUGUCAGAUCUGUGCCAUUUUCCUGUCUGCUUAGUGGGGUGAGUUCCUGAGGUUUCUGGGGAGCUUUCUUCCUCCCAAGCUGAGGUCAAACAGUUACCCAGUCAUUCCUUCCCUCCUGCUGUUUAUAAGCCACAAGGAGCAGGAUGUGGUAACAUUCUCCUGUGGUUCGCCGUGAGGAAAAGAUCCCAUUUCUCUUUGGAGACAAUCCCCAACAGCUCGCCAGCAGCAGAACUUCUUUUGUGGAGUGAAAAUGGGGGAAAACCUCUGUGUGUGUGUGUCCUGCCUGCCAGGUCCAGCAGCAGAGGAAGCCUUGGGUUGCAGUGCUUUGUGCAGAAAUUGCAGCCGAGUCUUGGAGCAUCCUCAGAGGGGAUGAUACCAACACCUGGAAUCCUUCCUGAGCCUGUGUCCGUGUCCUGGCCCUUCUCUGAGUGACUCUGUGGGCGAACAAAGGAGCCCUGAAGGCUCCAUCAAGUCUCCUGGUCGGCAGGGAGGAGCAGGGAUGCUGAAAAUGCAGCUGGAAAAGCAAUUAUUGCCUUCCUCAGCACGGGAGCCCCAGCCCCUCUUCAGCUGCACACAAAGGGAGAGACAAGAGGCUCCCCGAGACCCAAACCCUUCUGAAUGGUGAGGAGGAAACAUCCCACGGGUUUUGUUUGUCCCCUCAGGAUGUCAGCAUCCUUUGGGAAGCUUUGUGUGGGAGCAGCUGGCCCCACCUCUGCUCAGCAGUGCUUUGCUCUGGGAGGAAGGAGCAGAAAACAUCCCUGGGUUCAAAGAGACAACUUCCCCGAGAGCAGCUGGGUGUUUGCAGAGAUCACAGCCCUCAGCCUGCCCAGCGCUUGAAGCUCUCCCGAUGUUUUUCCUUUCCAAGAUGCUCCUUGAUGUCUGUGUCCAUCCCUCCUCCUUCCUUUAGAGCCCGAGGCUCUAAAAGCCACAAACCACAGCAGCACUGAGGGGAGCUGGCUGUGUCCAAAGAAGCAGCAAUUUGCCUUAAUCUUGCAUUUCAAUGUGGUUAUUUUGGAACCUUUUGACAAUGAAAUUGCAAAUAUUGG